CAAAGGUUUCAAAACCUUCCAAAACAGCACCAUCAGCUAAAGACUAGCUGUUCAAAUGCCCAAGCCUGUGGCUGCUUCCUCUGGUCAGUUCAAAGUGAGACAUACAAUAGGAAAGAAUCACACACUGCUUAUAUGUCUAAAAUGUAUCUCUUUUUGUAAACUCAAAAGAUCCAAGUUGACUCCCUGGAAGAGCUCUCCCUGUUGCCAAUGCCUUUUAGAAGGCCCCUCCCACUGAUCACUCUCUCCACAGCUGCUCUUGCCCCCUAGAGGCCUCUUCUACAUCCCCUCUUUUCACCCCAAUAAACCUCCCACAGGAGUUCUGUUGUAUGGUGUAACUUUCCUUCCUUCCACUGCUAAACAACAACACACAAAAUUUCCCAAUCAUAAUAACAAGAAAAUAAAAUAUAAUACUUUUACAUUGAUUACAUAAUGAAGUAGUACCAAAUUGGCUAGACCUGGUUAAAAAAAAAAAAAGAAAGAAACAUUGUUUUAAUUAAUUUUAUUUUUGUGCUUUUACCUUUUAAUGUGAGCACUAUAAAAACUAACAUUUACAGAUACAACUUGCCUUGUGUAGCUAAUGUGAGAGACAAAGUUACAUUUAAAAUUUCAAUUACUGUGCCUAACAGAUCCAUGAAAGACAAAUGCCUCUAGCCUAUAAUCCCCUUGCCCAAGGACAGAUAUAUAUUUCCUGAAAUUCUGGAGGCUAUUUUUUAAUAGAAGAUAACAAUCCACAAGUUUUCACUCCCCUAAACAAGUUUCUUUGACCCAACCACACCCAUGUGCUUGAUCACAUGUAGGCGGGAGGUACAUGGCAGGAAAUAUAUCAGGAUAUAUGCUUGCCCCUGAUUGGACCUAACGGGAAAUACAGAGGCUUUGUGGGGAUUGCCUUUUUAAGACUCUGCAAGAUGUGACUCGUGGCCAUUUCCUGGGACCUGGCCAUAGUCUAUCAACCUGGCCAGUAUUUAAUUAAAGCUUGCUUCAAGUAUGGCUUUAAACAGUGAUAGUGGUCUUAUUCUUGACCAGUGGGAUUAACACUCUCAGACAAUACUCCAAAGCAGAGGUUCUCAAACCUGGUUGGUUUGGCUAGUUCAGACUCUCUGUGGCAAUAUCUGGAGAGAGUUUGCUCAACAGGAAAGGAAAGAGGACACUGCUACUGGGAAGAGGCUAAGGGUGCUAAUUAAGGCCCUGCAUUGCAAAGGACAUCUUGUCACAGAAGGAAUAGCUGCCCCAGAGUGUCAAAGUGCUGAGGUUGAGAAAUUUGGCUGUGAAGUGAUCUUUAUGAGAGCAAUACCAAGAAGAUGUGCAACUAAAAAUCCUCAGCGGGUCAAGAAGAGAGGGAGGAAAAAUAAACAGAGAUUAGCAGAGACAAAUACAAAAACAUCACCUAGGUAGCAGAUUAACUCCGAGUGUGUCAGUACUGAUAUUAGAUAAAUAUUGUCCAAAUGGCUGCAAAACAAGAAGUAAUUGGAUGCUGUUUUCAGGACACAUGUAGAAAUGAGAAAGGAGAAAGCUGAAAAUAAACCCCAACCCAAAGAAAGCUAUCAGGGCUGUGUUAAUGUGGGAAAAUGAGACUUUAAAACAAAAGGUAUUAAUAGAUACAGAGCGACAGUUUAUGAUGAUUAAAGUGUUGAUCCAGAAGGAGCACACUGCCAGGCAGUGGUAGCGCACACCUUUUGUCCCAGCACUUGGUUGGCAGAGGCAGGCAGAUGUCUGUGAGUUCGAGACCAACCUGAUCUACAAGAGCUAGUUCCAGGACAGCCUCCAAAGCCACAGAGAAACCCUGUCUUGAAAAACAAAAACAAAAACAAAAACAACAAAUGUCAUUAAAAAAAAAAAAAAACAAGAAACAGAAGGGGCAUACAAGAACCCUAAAUUUGUAUGCAUUCAAUAGCAUAGUUCCAAAAUAUACACUGGGUAAAGAGAUUAUAUUCACAAUUAAAGCCCUUUCCCCAAAGAAAUCUCCAGGCCUGUCAUGCCUUGCUAGAAAGCCAUUCCAAACAUUGAGGGAGGGAAAAUUAUAUCAAAACAACUUCUUUCAGACUAUAGUAAAAUAAUGAGCACUUCCCAACUCAGUUUUGGUAGGUAGUAGACAUUAUAACUGUAAUCCUAAUGGUUGCAAAAGAUAGUACAUGAAAAUAAUAUUACUGGUCAUUUUACUCCCAUGCAUCUUGAAGCUGAAAUUCUAAAUAAAGUGUCAACAAAUUAAACAAUGUGACAUUAAAAAAUUAUAAUACAUAAUGGUCCACUUAGAUUUAUUCCAGGAAGCAAAGUGGAUUCAACAUUUGAGAAAUCAACUGAUUAGCCAAAUUGACUAAGUAAGAAGAAAAUCAUAUUUGUUUUCUUCUUAUAUUGGUGUUUUUCUUCAUACUAAUCAUCAAUACUGACAGAAAAAACAUUACGAUAAAGUUCAAUAGUCACCUAAGACAAAAACUCACCAAUGAGGAGAGUGGUAGGGAAGGAGAAACUUAAUCUGAAAUUUGUCAGCUGUGUUUGCACACACUUGCAAUCCCAGUACUUCAGGAGCUGAAGGAAGAGGACUGCCUGAGUUCAAGGCAAGCUUGGGCUAUGUAGUGAGUUCCAGGCCAGCCUGAGUCACACAGUGAAACUAUGUCUCAAGAAAACUAAAGAAGUAUGAGAUGGUUCAGCAGGUAAAGGCGACUGCCACCAAGCCUGAUAACCUGAGUUUGGUCUUGGGGACUCAGGCCUGCAGCUAAGUUAUAGGGGUAACACAUUCCUCCUGCAUCUACAGGCAUAUUAUGUCUGUAAUUCGAUACUCAACAUUAUGAUAAGAUAAAGUUUUUUAAGGUAUGAAAGUAGGAAAGGACAUAGAAUAUCAUUUACAGAUAAUGAUUCAUACAUUGAAAAUCUAAAGAAUAAAUUAGCAAGGCAGAUACAGACAGGGUUAAAACACAAAAAUUAAUUGUAUUUCUGUAAAUCAUAGAAAAAUGAAAUUUAUAAAACAGUAGCAUUGACAAUGACAUUUUAAAAGUCAUUUUCUAGGAACAAAUCUAAUAAAAAGUGAAACAGAUCUCAACGUGGAAAACUACAAACUGUCACUGAGAAAAAUUAAAGACCUUAAUUGAAAUGUUCCUGGAAGGUCAUUAGCUCUUACUCUAUCUCAGAGUGAAAGGCAAUCCUGGCUCUACCAACCCUUAGACUGUAACCUCUCCUCAGCAUGGCUGGAGAAGUCUGAGACUUCAAUGUCUUCCUGAAGGGCACUCGAGCCAGUUAAAGAUGGCACCAAGUUGAAGUCAGGAGGCUGAGUCCAGAGAUGUUUACAAAAAAGUAUUAUUGGUUGCAAAGAUGAAACCAGAUGAGGUCACUGCAUGAAAGGUUCAGUGUUCAAUAGAUAAAGCAUAGGGCGCCUAGGUGCAUGAUAGGCUGACCUUUAAAACCAUUGUCUGGCUGUUUUCCCACUCUGUAGAUUUUUGCUUUAAAAGAUGCUUGCUGUGGGGCAAUAAACAAGUUCCUGCUUGACUAGACUCCCCACUGUGUCCGAUAGUCUCUGGGAUACUAUGAGGCUGGGCACCAGGCAAGCAGCGCACUUACCCUUCCUUGGACCCAGCUCAGUCUUCCAUGGUUGGGCUAAGACCCUGCAUCUUCUUAUCCUCAUUAUGGCUGGAUAAUGAAUGCUUGAUCCUGACUAUUGAAGACCCUGCUCCUAUUUUUUAUACCCCUCUAGUGCUGGGAUUAAAGGCAGGUGAUCCCAGGUGCUGAGAUCAUCUUUGUGUGAGCUGUUUCUCUUUAGAACCUGAUCAAUCCUGUGUAGAUCUGGGUGGCCUUGAACUCAUGGAGAUCCAUUUACCUUUUAAUUCUGAGUCCUAGGAUUAAAGUUGUGUACCACCAUCUCCUAGCUUCUGGCUCCUGGGAUUAAAGGUGUGUAUCACCACUGCCUGAUCUCUAUAGCUGGAGGCUGGCUUUGCUUUCUGAAUCCUCAAGCAAGCUCUAAUAAAUCAUAAAUAAUACAUCACCACACCACCUUGUUUUGGCAAGUUCAGCAGUCACUUUCCUGUGAGUCCUGCAUGUCCAGUUCAUACAGCAUAUAGUCAAGCAGUCCAGGCAAGAGCAGUUUCUUGCCCAAAUGGCUAACCUUGUCACAAUGAAAGGAAAUCCUAUGGAGUUUCUUCGAUGCCCAUCAUCCUUUUAUGAAGUGUACCGGUGCUGCCAGGAGCAGAUACGUCUCACUGUCAUGAAAAACCUUAGGUUAAGAAAACAUUUUAGCAUAGUGGUGGUGGUGCACACCUUUAGUCCCAGCACUCAGGAGGCAGAGGCAGGUGGAUCUCUGUGAGAUAGAGGCCAGCCUGGUCUACAAAGCUACACAGAGAAACCCUGUCUCAAAAAAAACAAAAAAGAAAACAUUUUUUUUUUUUUUGAGAUGCAGCAUCAAGUUUACUGUGGCAAAGUCAGACAGGACAUUGACUGGCUCAUCAUCCAGCCCCACCCUUAGAAGUAUGUAAGGGGGAAGUGUCCCUCAAGUCCUUAGAAUUCCUUGCCAGUCACAUUUCUGAUCCCCACCAGCCAACACAGCAGCUUACAUUUAGUCCCUCAGUUGCUCCUCUCUUCUGAUCUUUGUUUUCCUAUCAUCUUGGUUUCUUUCUUUCUUUUUUUUUUUUUAAGAAAACAUUUUAAAUGCCAUAUUUUGUAGGUCUUUGAAGUGAUUGAAAACCAUUUAUCUAAAAUUUUUAUCUGUAUGAUCUAGAAAACAAGCCUAACAUAUCUACAAAUUUGACUAUAAUCAAUGACUAACUACUGCCCUAUGUUUCUUGAGUAUCCUAAAUAGUUUAUAAUAAUAGCUUUUAAAAACUAGAAUUUUACCUUACACUUUUAAAUAAACUGCAUAGGCACAUUACCUUAAACAAGAGUAUAAUCAUAUAUACUGUGUUAUUAUAAGAAUUACCUUAAAUUUGUAUCAAUAUACAAAAAAAUGAGAUUAAUAGUUUGUUUUUUUAGUUUAUAGUAGAUUCAAUAAUCUACCUUAUUACUUAAAGUAAACUCAAUAAUCUACCCUUUUAUCUUAUCAUUCCUAUAUUCCUAUAUUCCCCUAAAUAUAACAAACAUCCAUGACCCACCAAUUAAACAAAAACCACCCACAUCCACCAACUUUUGGGAAUGUGGGCAUCAUUUUCUCCAUACUGCUUCCUGAUGAAUGUGGGCAAAGGUAUUUUUAGGGUCCCUGAGAAAAUUUGAAAGACCAGCAGUAACCUUUGUAAUAGAUAUCACCUGUUAAGUGUCAGGAACAAAUCCACAGCCUCUUGUUUCCUGUGGAAACAAAAGCAAAACCUCUUCUACAAAACAAUGCAUCUUUUAAGUUCCAUUUUACAAAUACAUUUUUUUACUUUAAUUUUAAAGUUAAGGCAUUCUUAAGAUAUCUAGACUGGUUUGUUUCAUCAGUCCUUCUCUCGAUACCAUGUCUCUUAGUAGCUGUUGUUUGUUACGAUAAUUCUUCCCACCAACCUGGUCCCAGUGCCUAGUCAGCCCCAAAUAACACACAGAAACUCUAAUAGUUAUAAUGCUGUUGGCCAAAAUCUAGGGCUUCUUAUCGGCUAUCUCUGUCUUAGGUAUUAGACCCAUAACUACUAAUACAUGUAUUUCUACAAGGUCUUAUCUUACUGAGAACGCCAGACUCAUGCAUCCUCUCCUCCCGGGAUCACAUGGUGACUUUUUCUUAUACUACACUUCCCAGAAUCCUCCUUGUCUCCUAGUCCCUCCUAGCUUGCUUCCCUAUUGGCCAACAGUGUUUUAACUUUAACAUAGUCAAAUUAUAUAUAACAAAACAGUUAUCAAGUUAUAGUUAUACUAUUUAGUCCAUUAACAUUUAGCAAGAUUUAAAGAAAACAUUCUAUCAUUUAUCCUAUCUUUGUGAGUCUAAAGUCUUAUAUGCAACUUAUCUUCUAUCAUACUGUUUCUGUCUUUGCUGCACCUUUUGGAAGCUGCUCGUCUGCACUUCCUACCUACCCUAGUAUUAUCCUCCUCCUCCUCAGGUCUUUGAUGAGGUUGAAGAUUAGACUGUCACAAUUAUUGUUCUCUCUUCCUAGAUAGAAAUAUUAGGUACAAGACUUAAACUCUCCAGCUUAUGACAACUCUAUAGGAAUCCCUUUUAUGCCUUUACCCAAGGACUGGAUAUAUAGUUCUUGCCUUUUGCUGUAGUUGCUUCACUGGCGAUAGGUCUUAAGUGUGUUUGUUCUUACUUUUCCUUUUCCUAGAGCAUACUUGAUAUUUGCUAUCUUUAUAUAUAGUCUUGUAUCAAGCCUAAAUCUUUUUCUUUAGACUAAAAGGGGAGUUGUAGUGAGAUAUCCACCCCACCCACACCUGCAGCACUGACCGCACCCAUUUGGAUGUGGUUACAGGCAAGGAUGUGACAGGGAGUGAGUUUAGGUCUGGGGUCAGGGCAGGUGGCUCUCUCUUUGCAUCUGGUUGGGUCACAGGGAGCAGCCUGUGUGGAUCCUGAGAGCAGGAACCUGCAGCAGUCAUCUGCUUCUUAUAUAAGUGACUUCUCCCCAAAUAAAUUAUAUUUAACCUAUAUUUGAGCCUAGUCCUGUGUAUCAUUCUCCAUCUCUCCACAGUUGUUUGCUUAUCAGUGUUACGAUAAAUCUUUCCACCACCUGCUUGAGUUCUGCCUGUCACGUGGGUGGCCAAAAUAAUACACAGAGACUUAUAUUAGGUACAAAUGAUGCUUGGCCAAUGACUAGGAUUUCUCAUCUGCUAGCAAAGUCUUAAUUAUCAUAAGUCUAUAUAUUUUAUAAGACUUAUCUUAUUGGACACCAGUGGCAAGCAUCCUGACUUCCCAGGCUCACAUGGGGACUCUGAAGGAAGAGAGAAGGGGCCCACUUCCUUCUUGCUCAUGUUUAUAUGUGAGUCUCCCUGCUAUGUCACUUCCUGCCUGGAUCAUCACUUCUUUACUACAUUUCCCAGAAUCCUCCUUGACUCCUAGUCCCACCUAACUUGCUGCCUCAUUGGCU
ensembl:lncRNA